ACGGCUCAGUAACACGUGGUCAACAUACCCAGAGGACGUGGAUAACCUCGGGAAACUGAGGAUAAACCGCGAUAGACCAUAAUGUCUGGAAUGAUUUAUGGUUCAAAUCUAUAUGGCCUCUGGAUUGGACUGCGGCCGAUCAGGCUGUUGGUGAGGUAAUGGCCCACCAAACCUGAAACCGGUACGGGCUCUGAGAGGAGAAGCCCGGAGAUGGGCACUGAGACAAGGGCCCAGGCCCUAUGGGGCGCAGCAGGCGCGAAAUCUUUGCAAUAGGCGAAAGCCUGACAAGGUUACUCUGAGUGAUCUCCGCUAAGGAAAUCUUUUGACACCUCUAAAAAUGGUGUAGAAUAAGGGGUGGGCAAGCCUGGUGUCAGCCGCCGCGGUAAUACCAGCACCCCGAGUGGUCGGGACGAUUAUUGGGCCUAAAGCAUCCGUAGCCGGUUCCUUAAGUCCUCCGUUAAAUCCACCUGCUUAACAGAUGGGCUGCGGAGGAUACUAUAGAGCUAGGAGGCGGGAGAGGCAAGCGGUACUCAGUGGGUAGGGGUAAAAUCCGUUGAUCCAUUGAAGACCACCAGUGGCGAAGGCGGCUUGCCAGAACGCGCUCGACGGUGAGGGAUGAAAGCUGGGGGAGCAAACCGGAUUAGAUACCCGGGUAGUCCCAGCUGUAAACGAUGCAGACUCGGUGAUGAACAGGCUUCGUGCCUGUUCAGUGCCGCAGGGAAGCCGUUAAGUCUGCCGCCUGGGGAGUACGGUCGCAAGACUGGAACUUAAAGGAAUUGGCGGGGGAGCAC
rnacentral:rRNA from 1 species